CCUACGGGAGGCAGCAGUGGGGAAUAUUGGACAAUGGGCGAAAGCCUGAUCCAGCCAUGCCGCGUGUGUGAAGAAGGCCUUCGGGUUGUAAAGCACUUUCAGUGGGGAAGAAAGCCUUGGGGCUAAUACCCUCGAGGAAGGACAUCACCCACAGAAGAAGCACCGGCUAACUCCGUGCCAGCAGCCGCGGUAAUACGGAGGGUGCGAGCGUUAAUCGGAAUUACUGGGCGUAAAGCGCGCGUAGGCGGUCUGAUAAGCCGGUUGUGAAAGCCCCGGGCUCAACCUGGGAACGGCAUCCGGAACUGUCAGGCUAGAGUGCAGGAGAGGAAGGUAGAAUUCCCGGUGUAGCAGUGAAAUGCGUAGAGAUCGGGAGGAAUACCAGUGGCGAAGGCGGCCUUCUGGACUGACACUGACGCUGAGGUGCGAAAGCGUGGGUAGCAAACAGGAUUAGAUACCCUGGUAGUC
rnacentral:rRNA from 1 species